rnacentral:rRNA from 1 species
AGAGUUUGAUCCUGGCUCAGAACGAACGCUGGCGGCAUGCCUAACACAUGCAAGUCGGACGCUUUUGCGACUUCGGUCGCAAGGGAGUGGCGCACGGGUGAGUAGCGCGUGGGAACCUGCCCUGUUGUGGGGGAUAACCGAGGGAAACUUCGGCUAAUACCGCAUGCGCCCGGUUGUCUUGAAAGAGAUGGCCGGGGAAAGAUUUAUCGCAGCAGGAGGGGCCCGCGUCGGAUUAGGUAGUUGGUAGGGUAACGGCCUACCAAGCCUGUGAUCCGUAGCUGGUCUGAGAGGAUGAUCAGCCACACUGGGACUGAGACACGGCCCAGACUCCUACGGGAGGCAGCAGUGGGGAAUAUUGGACAAUGGGCGCAAGCCUGAUCCAGCAAUGCCGCGUGAGUGAUGAAGGCCUUAGGGUUGUAAAGCUCUUUCGCCCGCGACGAUGAUGACGGUAGCGGGAGAAGAAGCCCCGGCUAACUUCGUGCCAGCAGCCGCGGUAAUACGAAGGGGGCGAGCGUUGUUCGGAUUUACUGGGCGUAAAGGGCGCGUAGGCGGCCCUCCUUGUCGCGUGUGAAGCCCCGGGCUCAACCUGGGAAUUGCGCGCGAAACGGGGGGGCUUGAGUUCGGGAGAGGAGCGUGGAAUUCCCAGUGUAGAGGUGAAAUUCGUAGAUAUUGGGAAGAACACCGGUGGCGAAGGCGGCGCUCUGGACCGAGACUGACGCUGAGGCGCGAAAAGCGUGGGAGCAAACAGGAUUAGAUACCCCCGUAGUCC